GUAUGUUGUACACAUUUUUAUGAAGCUGCUAAUCAGACCUGCAUAGAGUGUCCCAUUGGUUACACAUCAACCAAAGGUGUAGCUUGCUAUCACUGCCAGUAUCCAUAUUACGGAAAUCGUUGCGCUUACAAAUGUCAAUGCAAUUUCGAGUUCUGCGAUUUUAAACAAGGUUGUAAGUCUUUUACAAGAACUACAAAACAACUAUCUGCACAACGAAAAGG